rnacentral:tRNA from 1 species
GCCGGUGUGGCGGAAUGGCAGACGCGGCGCACUCAAACUGCGCUGUCCGAAAGGGCGUGUGGGUUCGAAUCCCACCACCGGCA